UACGUAGGUGGCAAGCGUUAUCCGGAAUUACUGGGCGUAAAGCGCACGCAGGCGGUCUUGUAAGUUUGACGUGAAAGCUCCCGGCUUAACUGGGAGAGGUCGUUGAAGACUGCAAGACUUGAGGAAAUGAGAGGGGUGUAGAAUUCCCGGUGUAGUGGUGGAAUGCGUAGAUAUCAGGAGGAACACCAAUUGCGAAGGCAGCUCGCUGGGACGUUACUGACGCUGAGACGCGAAAGCGUGGGGAGCAAACAGG
rnacentral:rRNA from 1 species